rnacentral:rRNA from 1 species
UGGGGAAUUUUGGACAAUGGGCGAAAGCCUGAUCCAGCAAUGCCGCGUGUGUGAAGAAGGCCUUCGGGUUGUAAAGCACUUUUGUCCGGAAAGAAAUCCUUGGCUCUAAUACAGUCGGGGGAUGACGGUACCGGAAGAAUAAGCACCGGCUAACUACGUGCCAGCAGCCGCGGUAAUACGUAGGGUGCAAGCGUUAAUCGGAAUUACUGGGCGUAAAGCGUGCGCAGGCGGUUUGCUAAGACCGAUGUGAAAUCCCCGGGCUCAACCUGGGAACUGCAUUGGUGACUGGCAGGCUAGAGUAUGGCAGAGGGGGGUAGAAUUCCACGUGUAGCAGUAAAAUGCGUAGAGAUGUGGAGGAAUACCGAUGGCGAAGGCAGCCCCCUGGGCCAAUACUGACGCUCAUGCACGAAAGCGUGGGGAGCAAACAGGAUUAGAUACCCUGGUAGUCCACGCCCUAAACGAUGUCAACUAGUUGUUGGGGAUUCAUUUCCUUAGUAACGUAGCUAACGCGUGAAGUUGACCGCCUGGGGAGUACGGUCGCAAGAUUAAAACUUAAAUGAAUUGACGGGGUCAUAGCUGUUUCCU